rnacentral:rRNA from 1 species
AGGACGAACGCUGGCGGCGUGCUAACACAUGCAAGUCGAGCGAUGAAGCUUCUUCGGAAGUGGAUUAGCGGCGGACGGGUGAGUAACACGUGGGUAACCUACCUCAUAGGAGGGAAUAGCCUUCCGAAAGGAAGAUUAAUACCGCAUAAGGUUGUAAUAUCGCAUGAUAUAGCAAUUAAAGGAGCAAUCCGCUAUGAGAUGGACCCGCGUCGCAUUAGCUAGUUGGUGAGGUAACGGCCCACCAAGGCGACGAUGCGUAGCCGACCUGAGAGGGUGAUCGGCCACAUUGGGACUGAGACACGGCCCAGACUCCUACGGGAGGCAGCAGUGGGGAAUAUUGCACAAUGGGGGAAACCCUGAUGCAGCCAACGCCGCGUGAGUGAUGACGGUCUUCGGAUUGUAAAGCUCUGUCUUCAGGGACGAUAAUGACGGUACCUGAGGAGGAAGCCACGGCUAACUACGUGCCAGCAGCGGC